UGAACGCUGGCGGCAGGCCUAACACAUGCAAGUCGAGCGGAUGAGUGGAGCUUGCUCCAUGAUUCAGCGGCGGACGGGUGAGUAAUGCCUAGGAAUCUGCCUGGUAGUGGGGGACAACGUUUCGAAAGGAACGCUAAUACCGCAUACGUCCUACGGGAGAAAGUGGGGGAUCUUCGGACCUCACGCUAUCAGAUGAGCCUAGGUCGGAUUAGCUAGUUGGUGAGGUAAAGGCUCACCAAGGCGACGAUCCGUAACUGGUCUGAGAGGAUGAUCAGUCACACUGGAACUGAGACACGGUCCAGACUCCUACGGGAGGCAGCAGUGGGGAAUAUUGGACAAUGGGCGAAAGCCUGAUCCAGCCAUGCCGCGUGUGUGAAGAAGGUCUUCGGAUUGUAAAGCACUUUAAGUUGGGAGGAAGGGCAGUAAGUUAAUACCUUGCUGUUUUGACGUUACCAACAGAAUAAGCACCGGCUAACUUCGUGCCAGCAGCCGCGGUAAUACGAAGGGUGCAAGCGUUAAUCGGAAUUACUGGGCGUAAAGCGCGCGUAGGUGGUUCGUUAAGUUGGAUGUGAAAGCCCCGGGCUCAACCUGGGAACUGCAUCCAAAACUGGCGAGCUAGAGUAUGGCAGAGGGUGGUGGAAUUUCCUGUGUAGCGGUGAAAUGCGUAGAUAUAGGAAGGAACACCAG
rnacentral:rRNA from 2 species